CAGUCGCCGCGGGAAUACGGAGGGUGCAAGCGUUAAUCGGAAUUACUGGGCGUAAAGCGUGCGUAGGCGGUUCGUUAAGUCUGUUGUGAAAGCCCCGGGCUCAACCUGGGAAUGGCAAUGGAUACUGGCGAGCUAGAGUUUGUCAGAGGAUGGUGGAAUUCCCGGUGUAGCGGUGAAAUGCGUAGAGAUCGGGAGGAACAUCAGUGGCGAAGGCGGCCAUCUGGGACAACACUGACGCUGAGGCACGAAAGCGUGGGGAGCAAACAGGAUUAGAUACCCGUGUAGUCCCUGUCUCUUAUAC
rnacentral:rRNA from 1 species